rnacentral:rRNA from 1 species
AUGGCACUCAUUGAUCGCCAGCCACCCUCUAGUGACACCGUUAGCAAGCUGCCAGUGGGUAUUCAGACGGUCCUCAAUGAGUACAGCGACGUGUUUGGAGAACCAAAGAAACUGCCACCACACCGUCAAUAUGAUCAUGCCAUUACAUUGGUGGAAGGAGCACAACCAGCAAACUCACGACCCUACCGAUACUCGCCAUUGCAGAAAGAUGAGAUCGAGCGGCAAGUCAGAGAAAUGCUUGACUCCGGGGUGAUCGCGCACAGCAUGAGCCCUUACGCAGCCCCGGUUCUCUUGGUAAAAAAGAAGGAUGGCUCAUGGCGCUUCUGCGUCGAUUAUCGUCGCCUAAACGACACCACUGUGAAGAAUCGUUUUCCCCUUCCCAUCGUAGAUGAGUUGCUGGAUGAACUUGCUGGCGCCCGGUAUUUUUCCAAACUUGAUUUACGGGCGGGCUACCACCAAAUACGGAUGAGAGAAGGCGACGAAGAAAAGACGGCAUUCAAGACUCACCAUGGACACUUCCAUUUUCGAGUCAUGCCGUUCGGCCUGACAAACGCACCAGCCACCUUUCAGUGCCUCAUGAACCAGAUCUUCUCCAAGUAUGUACGCAAGUUUGUGAUCAUUUUUCUCGAUGACAUCUUGGUGUUUAGUGAAUCACUACAGGAGCACGAGGAGCAUCUUCGGCUGGUGUUUGAUCUUCUUCGAGAGCACCAACUUUUCGCCAAAUUGUCCAAGUGCUCGUUUGCUCAGGAGAGCAUCGACUACCUUGGUCACGUCAUCUCAAGCACCGGAGUGGCAACAGAUGCGGAGAAAACCCAAGCCAUGCUCAACUGGCCGACACCCUCCACACCAACUGAGCUGCGUGGGUUCCUUGGCCUCACCGGCUACUACAGAAAAUUUGUAGCCCGGUAUGGCAUCAUCGCCAAGCCAUUGACGAAUUUGCUGACGAAGAAAGGAUUCCAGUGGACUGAACAAGCGCAGGCCACCUUCGACCUCCUCAAACGCGCCAUGGCCAGUGCCCCAGUGCUCACAUUGCCAGACUUCACCAAACCGUUCAGCAUAGAGACUGACGCCUGCGACACGGGCAUCGGUGCCGUGCUCGUGCAAGAAGGACACCCGGUGGCGUACUUCAGUAAGGCCUUAGGUGUGCGCAACCAGAAGCUUUCAGCUUAC